GCACCCAUAGUAUAAUGGAUAGUACAGCGGUUUCCGGAGCCGCGGGUUCAGGUUCGAUUCCUGGUGGGUGUA
rnacentral:tRNA from 1 species